CCUACGGGAGGCAGCAGUGAGGAAUAUUGGUCAAUGGACGCAAGUCUGAACCAGCCAUGCCGCGUGCAGGAAGACGGCGCUAUGAGUUGUAAACUGCUUUUGUACGAGGGUAAACGCAGAUACGCGUAUCUGUCUGAAAGUAUCUUACGAAUAAGGAUUGGCUAACUCCGUGCCAGCAGCCGCGGUAAUACGGAGGAUUCAAGCGUUAUCCGGAUUUAUUGGGUUUAAAGGGUGCGUAGGCGGUCGGAUAAGUUAGAGGUGAAAUCCCGAGGCUCAACUUCGGAAUUGCCUCUGAUACUGUCCGGCUAGAGAGUAGUUGAGGUAGGCGGAAUGUAUGGUGUAGCGGUGAAAUGCUUAGAGAUCGUACAGAACACCGAUUGCGAAGGCAGCUUACCAAGCUACUUCUGACGUUGAGGCACGAAAGCGUGGGGAGCAAACAGGAUUAGAUACCCCAGUAGUC
rnacentral:rRNA from 1 species